GCGCGCCCCUUCCCGGACAGUUCCUCUCGGCGCCCCCGAGUCCUCCCCGCGCGCCGCUUCCCGGGUGGGCCCUUCCACCAGAACCCCCUGGUAGAUCCUCCCCUGGUGCCCUGGGGGUAGAGGGGAGAUCCUCCACAAGGGCCAUUUCCCUGGUGAUCCCUCCCUGUGCCCCACAGGUGAGUCCUGCCGUAGCUCUCCAGGGGUUCCUCCUGAUGCUGGGGUCCUCCGGCAUUCCUCCCUGAGCCCCCCAAGGGCCCUGAAGCUCAGCGGCCCAGCCCUGGCCUCGGGGUCCCCACCCCACACCUCCCUUCCAGGCCUAACCUUUGCCCCCGACACCAGGCAGGGCGUGUCCUUGGCCUUCGCCGCCCAGCCCGCGUGGCAUCUCUGGACAGGUGGUCGUGCGCGCCUUGGUGUGGGCAGGCUCCGUAGCCGGCAAAGCCUCCCUGAACCGUGACCUGGUGAGAAGGCCGCAGAGGAGGUGCCUGUGCCCAGAGGCCACCUCCAAAGACCCCACCUGAGGCUGGAACCCAGCGCCUGCUGACCCCGCCAGCCCCAACAGGGCUGGAGUCCAGGAGCGGCCGUGCUCUUUCCGCAGUGAGGCAGCUGCCUUCUCUUCCCACCACCUGUCAGGAUGCCUUCCCGUGUGUGCUUGUGCACAGGUCUAAGGAGAGGAGAGUCCAGUGAGUGACCCAGACGCCCCAGCCAGGAAGAGCAUGAGGAAAGCAAAGCUGCAGCCUGAGAUCUCCUUCCACCAACUCCUGGCAUGGCCAGAAAGUUAGCCAGAAACACCAGAAAGUGCCAGGCAGCUAGGAAGCAUGGGGAGAGCCCCCUGAAGCUGCGUGUGUAGUGCCUGCUUCCGCUGCCAUCCCAGAAAUGGACGAGCUUCACCCUGAGAACCCAGCCACACCACUGGGACACAUCCUGACAGUGACAUGCACACUCUUCCCUGGCCCCAGCCUGGAGAGGAGCCUCCUGAAGACACCAGCCUUUGCUCCUUCUCCCAGUGGGAGUGGAGAGAACUGACUGCUGGAGUGGAGACAGUCAAGGCUGUCCUUCUGAGGGAGCACAGCACAGGGUCUGGUGUCCCAGGGAGGCAAUCUGAAAUUCAAGCCAGGCCUCCCCAGCGGAGAGGACACACCCCUCACCAUGCAGAGUGACGUUUAGUAAACUCUCAAAAGAGAGCACAGAGCCCCACUCCUCCAGCCGACCCAUACUCUGCCUCCCCACUCCAGACCAGUGAACAAGGUGGAUUGCCCUUAAGCCAGCUCAGAGGCAAAGUCCAAAGACCUCAGGUGAGUCAAACAAUAAAAACAAAGAAUUAAGAAGAAUCCAGCUGGGUGCGGUGGCUCACGCCUGUAAUCCCAGCACUUUGGGAGGCUGAGGCGGGAGGAUCACGAGCAGGAGGUCGAGACCAUCCUGGCUAACACGGUGAAACCCCGUCUCUACUAAAAAUAGAAAAAAUUAGCUGGGCGUGGUGGCGGGCGCCUGUAGUCCCAGCUACUCCGGAGGCUGAGGCAGAAGAAUGGCGUGAACCCAGGAAGCGGAGCUUGCAGUGAGCCGAGAUCAUGCCACUGCACUCCAGCCUGGGCGACAGAGCGAGACUCCGUCUCCAAAAAAAAAAAAAAAAAAAAAAUCCAUCCACUCCAUCCACUUAGUAGCAGAGCGAAUAGACAUUCAGGAAAGAGCUUUCACGUCAGAAAGCACUACAGAAGUAGUGGCAUAUCCCCGGAGGCUGAGGUGGGAGCAUUGCUGAGAGGUGGCACGUGACCACAUCCAUGUCAUUCAACAACAGAAAAACAAGUCAUCGAGGGUGUGAGGGGCCGGUGAGAAACCCAGUAUGGAAGAAAACACAACUGGGCUGAGCGUGGUGGCUCACGCCUGUAAUCCCAGCACUUUGGGAGGCCAAGGCAGGAGGAUCACCUGAGGUCAGGAGUUCGAGACCAGCCUGGUCAACAUAGUGAAACCUCAUCUCUACUAAAAAUACAAAAAAAUUAACUGGGUGUGGUAGCGCGUGCCUGUAGUCCCAGCUACUCCGGAGGCUGAGGCAGGAGAAUUGCAUGAACCCAGGAGCCGAGACCACACCACUGCACUCCAGCCUGGGGGCGGCACAGUGAGACUCCGUCUCAAAGAAACAAAAAUAAAAAAUAAAUAAAUAAAUAAAUAAAUAAAUAAGAAAACGCAACCAAAGAAACAGAAGAGGACUCCACAGGACUUCUUUCAGAGCUUCAUAGCAGCAUGAAUUCAACAAUCAGGAAUUCAAAUGCUUGACGACAAAACAGCAGGAUGGGAGGAAGAGUUAAGAGCCAAGCAAACCGGAAGCACCAAAAUCGCACCGUGGCUGGAUCAAGUCAUAAACAGCAAAGGGCAGAAUAUCAAGUUACUUGGAGAUGAAAGGCUUGAGAUAAUUUCAGAGCAAGACAAAGUGAUUAACACAAUAAUUUACUCAUUGA
rnacentral:lncRNA from 1 species